UUGCCUCAAUCUUUUCCAUUCAUAUUCUUUGCACACCUCUUGUUCAGAGAAGAACAAACUUUUUGGUGAUCCUCGGAAAAGAAAGAGAUGGCGGCAAAUCCUCUUCUGGCAAGAAUGCAAGACAAUCGAUGAUGCAUAGCUGCUGAGGUCCUUCUCCAGGCUGGAAUUCCGAGAGUGCGUGGUGUUUUGAUCCACAGAUUUCAAACUUGAUUGUCCAGAUGGUGCGAGAGGAAGAGAGCCGCUGUUGUUUGAUCAAUGUCUCCAACAGAUCCUCACUUCCCCUGAUCUGAAAUUCUCCAAGGGGGAUAUGCCAUUCCCCUGUUAAAAAAUACCCGAUAUUAUAAAUGCAAAUAUAGACAAGGCAAAAUGAAGAAAGCAAAAGAAAAGGCAAAUUACAAUUUACAAAUCAUCAGUGUUCAACCGAAGAUUGAUGCAUCCUUCUGGUGAAAUCUGUAGUGGAACAACCAGCCUCCUUGUAUAGUAACGCAAUGUACUGGCAUUCGUCCAAACACAGUUAAGUGGUGCUAAAUACAGAUAAGUGUCAAAUUAACUUUGAAGACAAUCAAUUUUGUUGGAAAAUUUGAGGACAAUCAAUUUAACAUAGAUACAGAUAAGUGGUACUAAAUACGUACCUGGCUUUGUCUGGAGAGUAGAGAGUUGGAGAGAGUUGGUGCCAAUAAGCCCUGCUCUCUUCAUCCAUGGUGUUUGUAGACAAAAAUAUGUGUAUGCAGCUACCACAAGAUGACAGAGGCAUUGAAAGAUGAGUAAGCAUUCCGCCAUAUGGAAACCGCAGCAGUAUAUAUAUACACAAGUACCUGAGUGGUUGAUGUAAGCUAACAUCGUUUUCCCUCUGAUAAUCCUAUCUUCACAGUUCAAUAGUUUUCUCUCUGGACCGACGAAGUCCCACAUACAUUCAAUCUUUAUAUAGCUGUUCAAGAGAGCUGAGGUCUAGAGGUCCCUGUCCUGGAAGGAAUUGCGAGAGUGGGAGGUGUUGAAAGUCCAUUUCCAUCCAAAAUAUUUCAAAAUUGACGGUCCAGAAAAUCAGAGCACCAUUUGAUAAUCCCAUCUUUACAGGUUUGCUUGCUCGCUGCAUCAAUUAAACCGAUAUAUCUGUUAGUCCCAUCACAUCUACCAGAAGAUUACAGUUAUGGUGCAAACGGGAGAAGUAUGAGAAAUCAUCCAGGGAUUUACCUCUUCUCAUGCAGGAGAAUCAUAUAUAUCGACUCCAAGUAGUUCCACAGUAUCAGACUACAAAUAAUUCACUCCCCUCGCACUCUCCUGUAAUUUCAUCUGAAACUCUGAUUUAAGCUGGAAUAUUGCUGAGGACAAUCAAUUUAAUAAUAAAUAAAAGUACCUGGCUUUUGUCUUGAGAGUUGAGAGUUGGAGAGAGUGAAAUGAAAGCUCAUAUGAUGGUGAUUUCAUCAUCUAUGUUUAUGCAAGGAAUGCGAGCUAUGUUUCUCCAAUCUUUUCCCUUCUUGUUCCCAUACCUCUUCUUCAGAGAAGGACAGCCCCGGAUCCUCAGAUAAGAAAGAGAUGCCGGCAAACCCUCUUUUGGCAGGAAUUUGAGACUCUCGCAGCCUGAAAUUUGUAGCUGUUGAAGAGAAGUGAGGUGCUCAAAUCCCUUUCCGUCCAAAGAUUUCAGAUUCGAUACAUCAGAGAUUUCGAGAGUGCGAAGAGUGGCAGGGAGAAGUUGUUCAUUGAGCAACGUCUCCACCAGAUCCCAGUUAACGAUAGAUAAUGUUUGUAGGUUGGGAGGCAAACCCCCUUGUGCAAAUGACACCACAUUUGGAAGACACUCUAUCGACAAAUGUUGAAGGGCGGUGAGGGUGUGCAUUCGGUCCGGCAACAACUUCAAAUUCACGCAAUGGUCUACUGAAAAGUAGGUCAGGUUGGGAGUGGGCAAUCCUCCGUCAGGAAAAGAGACAAGAUUUGGAAGACUGCCUAUCAAUAACCUUUGAAGGGCGGUGAGGGUGUGCAUUCGGCCCGGCAACAACUUCAAAUUCUCGCAGUUGUAGACAUGAAAGAAAGUGAGGUUGGGAGUGGGCAAUCCCCCGUCGGGAAAAGAGACAAGAUUUGGACAGUACCUGACAUCCAGGGAGUUGAGAUUUUCAUCUGCUCCUCCUUCAACUGAAAGAGAUUCCAGAUUCUGACAACGCAUUAUACGAAGAGAUGAAAGGCUGGGGAAAAUGCCCAAAGGGAACGACCUCAGAGAAUCACAGCUCUCGGAUAGAUGCAAAGACUGAAGGGAAGUCAAUUUGGCCAUCAUCUCACCUGAUAGAAAUUCUAAUUUCUUGCAAUUUACUAUACGGAGUGACGUCAGCGUGGUGGGCAGACCAUUUGUAGGGAACGACAAGACUGAGGAACAUUCAUAUAAAGUCAAACUUUGAAGACGAUUAGCGUUGUGCAUCAUUUGCGCCGACCACUCUUUCCCACCAACAAAUUCAAUACCAAGCUUCUGAAGCGACGGCAGCGUCUCCGUCGACUCUAGUAACAAUGAGAGACCCGGGCAUCGCCGUAUUGUCAGUUUUUCAAGAGAUCCUCGUAAGGAAUCCCUGUUCAGGGUAUUACUGGCCCUGUUUUCAUGUAGAACCUCACAAUUGUACACAUCAAGUGUUUUCAAGGAAGGAAGAUGAGUGGGCAGGUCUCCUCUCAGCUUCGGACACCAACUUAACCUCAGCUCCUUAAGACGAGGAAAGUCUGGACUUUCACCUCCACUUGGACUAGGCUGCCAUUCCUCCCACUCUGGCAUCUCCCGAAACUCUAGCUUCUCUAAACAUUGAAAUGGUUGAUUUCCCCCGUACAACUCACCACCAACACUCUUAACAACUUUCAUCCUUUCUACGUAGAGCUCUUUCAGAGCAGGUAGCUGACCAACUGGUGGCAGUGAACUGCAAUUACCACAGUCGCUGAGACGCAUCACUUGUAAGUUGGAGAAGGACGAGUCUCCCACCCAAUUCGGGAAACUGAUUCCGCCAUAAAACCUGAUGGUUAGCUUCACCAAAUUUACCGCAGGUUGAAGUCUUUCGAGCACAUAUCUCUCUUUUACGGAAUCAUUGGAAACCACACGACCCCAUGACAACUCUACCUCGUUGAGAUCUUUCUUAUCCUUCAGCAAGGCAUCAAUAGCACCGACUACAUUUUGCAGAUUCAAGAUAGAAAUUUUUCCUCCAAGGUGCGACAACUCCCUCAGCUCUGCAAUGCUUGACCCAGUAGAUUUCCCCAACACAAAAGCUGUCAGUGUUCUCAAACUUUUUAGUCUACCCAUAUGCACCGGCAUCUCUUUUAUUUUAGUUCCACCGAUAUCAAGAUGACGCAAAUGAAUCAAUUUCCUCAUGUCUGCAGGCAAUUCAACAAGAGAAGAACAACCUUUCAACAAUAGAGUUUGUAAAUUGUAGAGAGUACACACUGUAUCUGGUAACCUUUUAAUUGGCGUAUAAGAGAGAUCAAUGUAGCGCAAGUGCAUGUGGUUACCAAUGGAAUCAGGUAAGUGAGUGAUAUUCAUAUAUCUUGAUAAUGAAAUUGCCCGUAAACAUUUUUGUGCUGGCAAUAAAUCAUCUAGAAUCUUAUUGCUUACAUAUCCACCAUUCCAACUAUAAUGUGGUGGUAAAGACACUGGAAAGAAGGUACGCAAAUACUUAACUCCUUUUAAUGGCUCAAAUAUUGGAGAUGUAUCAAAUUUUCCUCUCAUAUAUGACAAGUGGCGAACCUUUUUAGAAACUUCGUGCGAAUUUUUUUGAUCCAACCUAAAACAAAACUCUCCAGACACAAACAUAGCCAAGUCAUUAAUAAGAUCAUGCAUAGUGAAACUUGGUUUAUCCAAUCUUGGUCUUUGAAAUAGUGAACGCGAUAACAGUUCAUUAAAGUACCUUUCACCAACCUCCUCCAUUGCUUUCUUGCUCUCUAAUUGUGGAAUUAAACCUUCUGCCACCCAUAGUAGAAUAGCAUUUUCCUUUUCAAACUCAUAGUCCUUUGGAAAAAUUGAGCAAUAAGCAAAGCAUCGUUUCAAGUAAGCCGGAAGAUAAUGGUAACUCAAUCUUAGAGAAGGAAGAAGACUAUUAGGGUGUGGCAGAUCCCAUAGAUUACUAUCCAAUAUGUGAUUCCACUCCUUGUAGUCUAGGUUGCAACUUAAGAGACCCCCUAGCGUUUUUGCAGCUAGAGGCAAACCGUUGCACUUACAUGCAAUUUGCUUACCAAUUUCAACCAAGUCUGGAUGUGCACCGGGGUUUUCAUUUCUAAAUGCAUGUUUUUCCAGUAACGACCAACAGUCUUCAUCCGACAAUUCUUUUAAAUCGUGAAUAGGAAUAGUAUUGUGCACGAUGGCUGCAACACGUCUGCUCCUUGUUGUUACAAUGACUUUGCUUCCCUUUGCCCCAUACGUGAAAAGAAUUCGUAGACGCUCCCAGUCAUCAUAGUUUUCAUUCCAAAGGUCAUCCAAGACAAGUAAAAAUCUCUUUCCACUCAGUUGUUCCCUUAGUUGAACUUCAAGGGAAUUCAUUUCCAAAUUGUCACAAGGCUUUUUAGUGAUUUCCUCAAUAAGGACCUUAAUCACCCUCAAAGCCUCAUACUGUUCGGAAACACAAACCCAAGCAUGAGUGUCAAAGUGCUUUUUAACUCGUUCAUCGUUGAAAAGGAGUUGAGCAAGAGUUGUCUUACCAACCCCGCCCAUACCGACUAUAGGGACUACAGAAAAAUUACUGCUACUUUCAUUGUCAGAUAGCAGCAGUAGAUCUUUUAACUUGUCUUUAUCUCCAUCCCUACCAUAGGUAUAAAAUCCGCCCUCAACAACAGAAGUUGUGGGAGUUCUUUGUGAAACAUUGCCUCCAACAACAUCUUCUCUAAGACGGAGGAUAUCUUUUUGAUUUGCAAGGUGUUCCAACUUCUUGAAUAAAACUUCUAUCCUACCAUUCAUGCCUUUAUAAUUAAAAGGUUUACGACAGGUAGAAAGGAAGUUCCACACCUGGGUUUUCUUAGUCUGAUCUUUCGCCUUGCGACGCGAAACUUCAGUAUCGAUCUCAUCCACCAAGUCCUCGGCCUCGAACACAGCAUGUUUGAGCUCAUCAAGCCACUUCCCGACGUCGGGGUUGACAAUCUGCUUCUCCUCUGCGUCGUUGAGCACUGCACGGAGAUUCACCAACUUCAUCUUCAGUGUGUCCAGGAGUGAAUAGUCGAGUCUUCUUGCCCGGAAGAAGUCUAUGAACUCUCCGGAGGCAAUCUUGUCGCACAGCACCUGGAUGGAACCGGAGAGCAAAGCCUCUCCAACGAAAGCCAUUUUCUCUUCUUAGCAAAAGGAGUAAUUUUGAUCAAGUAUUUGGAGUUGAGAAACUGAAAAUUAUUCUUGGAAAAGCCUGUAAGAUUACUUCAUGACUGGUGAGACGACUUGAUCUUUUUCUUGGUCAAUAAUGCAGUGGACCACACGCGGCAAACAUGAAGUAGAAAUUGGUGGAGGUUGGAAAACGUUACCAUCCAACAUUAAUUUAUUAAUUAUUUUCUUCCAUGAAAAAAAUCGUUGCUGGUCAUGAAAAUUGGUGGAGGUUGGAAAACAUUACAUCAACCAUUAAUUUAUUUAUUACUUUCUUCCCCUUGUGGAAUAAAUUUUUAGUUGUGACCGGAAUACGAAUAUACACCACAUGUUUUUAUACAAGAAGUAAAAAUUUUUAAUUUUUAAGUUAUUAACAAUUUAACACACAUAACCCACCAUUUAUAUAAGGACACAUGAUGUAUCACCUCGUGUAACGGUCAAAUCAAUAAAAGUGUUCCCUGAGAUUGUCCAUCAUCCAUCAUUUUAGCCAUUCUGUUAAAAAUUCAAUUAAGUGUUUCAGAGCACUUGGCCGGAAAUUUGAGCAAGUUUCAAAGCUUCGUAACUCAAUCAUUUCUUAACCAAAUUCGACUCACAAUAUAUCAAAAUGAAGAUCGUAAAGUGUAGACUAAGAUUGUACCUAUUUGGAAGCCCAAUGGUUGCCGUAGAUGGCCAGAAAAUAGCCUCAAAGUUGCCUGGUCUAAGGGAAAACUUGAAAACUCGCCAGAAACUGGUAAAUCGUUCAUAACUUCUUCAAUACUCAACGAAAUCAAGUGAUUCAAAAAAGAAAAUCAUACUUCUUAAUGAGACGAAGAGAAUGCUACCUUUUUUAGAUGGCUAAAUAGUCGUGGUUUGGUCGGAAAAGGCUCAAAAAUAGCUAUCUUGGUCUCAAGUUAGCCAUCUUCGAGCCGUUUUCCAGCCAAACCACGGCGAUUUAGCCGUCUAAAAAUAUACCAUUCUAUUUGUCUCGUUGAGAAGUAUGAUUUUUGUUUUUGAAUCACGUAAUUUCGUUGAGUAUUGAAGAAGUUAUGAACGUUUAAAGUUUAUCCAGUUUCUGGCGAGUUUUCCAGUUUUUCCUCAAACCAGUCAACUUUGAGGCUAUUUUCCGGCCAUCUCCGGCAGCCAUUGGGCUUCCAAAUAGGUAUAAUCUUAUUGUACACUUUCUUAUCUUUAUGUUGAUAUAUUAUGGGUCGAAUUUGAUUAAGAAACAAUUGAGUUACAAAGCUUUGAAAAUUGCUCAAACUUCUGGCCAAGAGUUUUAGGACACUUAACGGAGUUUUUAACAGAAUGAUCAAAAUGAUGGAUAGUGGACAAUCUCAUGGACCACUUUUAUUGAUUUGAAAUGUUAGGGACCAAAGUGAUGAGUUAUGCAAAUCUCAAGGACCAUUUUGGCUAUUUAGCCUAUUUUCUAUUCUGAUUAUUUAUUUUCUGUAACACGUACUAUAUGCUUUUUGAAGAAAAAUUGAAAAGUUUGUACUUUUUCUUGCUCUGCCAAUCUGUCUAUGUAUUCAACAUGCAUGGAACCAUUCAAGUUUGGGAUUUGGUUUGCAUCAGCAAUGCACUUUACAUCAUGAAUUUGAUUAUGGGAUAAAAUUUUUAGUGUACCUAAAACAUUAUCCGGUAUAUCAAGUAUAAUAAUAUAAUUGGUUGAAAAUUUUGUUUCUUCAAGUUUCUAAUCCAAUUGUCUUGUUACACUUGGUAUAACAAACCGUGUUCCUAACACAUUGAUAAAUCUCUCCACACAUCAGGAGGCCUAAAAUCUAUCAGUCUUGUUACACUUGGUAUAACGGUUAUAAUUAUUAUAACAUUUAAAUGGACAUUUCUAUUUGUAGCCGUUAAAUAAAAAUCCAGCGAUCCGCAUGUGUUGAUCAGGAGGAUCCGCUACUUAUUUGGCUGGCGCGUGCAGCACACUCGCGACUGUGCGUGAGUAGGAGACAAGGGUGCAUACGGUGGGGCCCGCUUAUCAGCCCACUUGUGUUCACCCGAAUUAGAGCUACGUGGCCCUCCUCAGUGUCGUUGGAUUUCCAACGGCUAGUUUUUGUAGACCGUUGGAUUUCCAACGGUAAAAAAAAUUUAAAUUUGACUUUUAAAAUGAACCAUCUGAUCACAGAUCAACGGUCCACAUUUUUUUCACAAAAAAUAAAAAUAAAAAUAAUUAAAAAAAGGCCCAACGGUCAGAAUUAUGACCGUUGGCCACGUGGCAACGCCUUGGCUCCUGGAUUUGAAUAUUUUUCAAAUCCAACGGUCCAGAUUAAUUAUCUAUAUUAAAAUUUAUUAAAAAUUAUGAAAAAAUACAGAAAAAUUAUUAAAAAAUAUAGAAAAGUUUUAAAAAAGUUUUUUUUUUUUUCUAUAAAUACCUAACUCUCAUCUUCUACCUUACACCACAUUUCAAUAUUUUCUACACUUUCUACCAAAGCUUUCAUAUACUUUUUGUGUGAAAAAAAAAAACCAAAAAGCUCAUCCUUAAUGAAUUGAUCGUUUAGCGGUACACUGAUGUGCAAGAGCUAUAUUGGCACGUAACCCGCCAUAAUGACUUGAUUGAGCACUAGUGGAGAUUGCAAGAAGGUGAAGAUAAUUAAAAUAAGCUUGUGGUUGAAGAAUAAAGUGUAUUUGAUGAGUUUAAUGUAAUUUCAUUUUAAUGUGUUUUUUUUUUUAGUUUAUUUGAUGAGUUUAUGUAAUUUUUUUUAGUGUGUGUUUUUUUAAGUUUAUUUGAUGAGUAUGUAAUUUUAUUUUAGUAUGUUUUUUUUAAGUUUAUUUGAAAUUUUAUCCGAAAUUGGUUAAAAAUCUUAUUUGAAAAUAAUUUUAUUUUAUUCUUUAAAAAAAAGAUAUAUAAUAUUUUAAAUGGGCUAGGUGACAGCGCAUUUUGUAGGGAUGAAGAUCGUUUAUGCCAUCGCAUUUUUAGACUGGGUGCCAGUGCAUUUUUUUAAGGGUGGAGAUGUUUUAGCCUAUUACUGUUCACUAUGGUUUAUUACUAUUCGCUUGAGUAGAUAAAUGCGCUGGAUGUUGGCGCAGAGUAUUUAGGUGUGGAAUUGCUCUAAAAAGAACCACGCAAUAAUACAUUUGGAUCUCAACAUUUUUCCAUAGGAUAAGGAUUGUCUGCCCUUCCACUUUUCAUGCCCUUCUAUGCCCUCCUGUUUGUUUGUGUGGUCACGGUUAAGCCACGUCAAUAUUUUAUAUUAUUAUUUAUUUUUAUCUUAUUAUCUCUAUAAAAUAAAGAAUAUAAAAUGUUAACGUGGCUUAACCGUGAUCACAUAAAACAAAAAGGCGGGCAUGGAAAAUGAAAGUGCAAACAAUCCUUGUCAUUUUCCAUAUGAUAUGAUUCCAUGUCCCCACCAUCGUCUUGUCACAUGGCAUCGUCUUGUCACCAUCUUGUCAUUAUUUCUAAUCUGGUUCUAAUUCCAAGGGGAACAUCUUCGUGUGAAAAAUAAAGUAAAAGUUUCGGGCAGGACCUUAAUGUUGGGUUCAAUUUCUACAUUUAUUAUUUACAUUUUUUACUUUUAAUCUCAACCGCUUAUUUUCUACAACACUCAUUACCACGUGCUAUGGAAAAAAAAAAAGAAAUUGAAAAGUUUCUUACUUUUUCUUGCUUUGCCUAUAUUUUCAACAUUUAUGGGACCAUUCGUGUUUAGGAUUUGGUUUGCCUAUAUGUUCAACAUUCAUGGGACCAUUCUGCUUUGCCUAUACUUUCUUGCGUUAACCAAUUUUAAGUCAGGUUAACAUGUUUUUGCACAAAACUAAUUAAGAACACACUCGAGCUGCAUAUUUAUAUUGUCAAAUUAUCGAAUUUAAUGUCACAUAAUUAAACAAAAGUAUACGUUUAUCGUUCUUUAAUUUAGAUUAACAGUGCGCUCCCUCUUUUACAUCUAAAUUUGAACCUUCAUUCUUAACUUUGCAAUUUAGAUGAGUUUAAUAUAAAUUAUCUUAUCGUUUGUUAAAAAACUCAUUUCUUAAAUAAUUAGAUGUGAUAUGUUUAAAUGCAAAUUUGUAACAAAACAAUGGAAAAGAAUAAAUAAAAAUGCAUAAGUACAAAUGUUCAUGGAAGCAAAGGUCUCGAAAACAUAUAUACUCCACAAAAUCUAGCACUAGAGUAUUGAGCCUAGAUAAUAUAACCUCUUCCCCAAUACUAAUUUAUAGCUGAUUUAUUUUGUGAUUUAGUUAAAAUUGCCAAUUCUCAUUAUCCUAAUUUCAUCAAAAAUAAAAUUAGAUAAUACCUUUAAAUUAACCACAAAAAUAACAAAACCGCAUCAAAAUCCUAAUUUUCAAUUCCACUGCAGAGAGAAAUCGAGUAGAUCCCCAUAUCCCCCAAUAAAAUGAAACAUGCAAAUGAGAAUUCAAUAAUUACAACUCAAAUUAAUAGCUUAUGCUUUCAUAGACAUCUGAAUUAUUGAAAAUUUACCCAUGUAGCCCCAGUUAGUCGAAAUCGAUCGAGCAUGAGAGAUUUUCUUUCAUAGACAUUUGUUUUAUAGACAUCUGCUUUCAAACGAGCAUGAGCGACUCGUGUAAAACAAGAUAUAGAUUAAUUUCGACGACAUGCAUCACAUGGUAAACUAUUAGAAUUGGAUAUCUACUUUUCCCUACAAUAAUAAUGAGGUGUUGUUAUUGGAACUCACAAUCAAAAUAUAAUUAUCAUUCAUUUUUCUCUCUUCGUGGCCGAAGGACUAAUUUGGAUCAAGUAUUUGAAGUUGGGAAACUGAAAAUUGUUCUUGGCAAAGGCUGUUAAGAUUACUUCAUGACUGGUGAGUGGUGAGACGACUGAUAUUUUUCUUGGUCAAUAAUGCAGUGGACCACACACGGCAAACAUAAAGUAGAAAUUGGUGGAGGUUGGAAAAAUACAGUAAAAAAAAUCAUGCAAUAUAUUUGAAUUUCACCAUUUUUCCAUAUGAUAUAAUCACAUGGGCCCCACUAUUCUCUUGUCACCACCCUCUUGGCAUCGUAUUGUCACCAUCCUCCACGAUCCUCUUGUCAUUAUUCUACUCUUAUUCCAAGGAGGCAGAUUUUAUGUCUUUCUAUUUUUCGUGCCCUUCUAUACUUUCUUACUUGUAUAGUUACGGUUAAAUCACAUCAACAUUUUAUAUUAUUAUUUUUUUUAUCUUAUUAUAUUUAUAAAAAAAUUAUAUAAAAUAUUGACGUGACUUAACCGUGAUCACACAAAACAAAAAGGCACAUAAAGACACACAAAGUGGGAGGCCAGAUAAUCUGCCUCCUUAUUCCAAAACAUCUACAUGUAAAAAAAAUAUAAUAAGAUCAAUUACCACACGACAAUGAAACAUUGAAUAUCUCAAAAUUGCCCCUUUUAUUACAGAUUAUAAAAAAUAAAAAAAAAGUAAGGACAUGAUGGUAAAACGUGGCAAGGAGAGAAAGUGGAGGAAAGAAACUAGAACGUGCUUAAAGAAAUAAAAGUGUAUUUGAAGCAGUUGUCGUAUUAAUAUCUCAUUCCAAUAUCACUUCUCCUUGCGCUCCAACUUCUCCCGUUCCCUGCAUUCCUCCAGUUUCUCUCUAUGGGUCUUACUUUUCCAUACAAAAACGGAAUCUUUACCUUUAUCUCUUAUGUAAAAUAGAGCACCAAAAUGGGCAAUCUCAAAGUGCUGCAGAGAUACGAUCCCUUCAUCAAAAAGGUUCUGAUUAUGGCUGCCUACGUCACAUUCUACUAAUUCAACAUUGAGAACAAUCAAUGGGUUCGUUUCUCGAAUUGUAACUUCCAAUUAUCCGUUUGGUUGCCCAGAAAAAAAAAAAAAAAAAACACCACAAUUAAUUCUACGAACAACGGAAAUUUGAAAUAUGAAGUGUGAAUCAAUAGGUGGAAAUGUGACACUGAUGUUGGCAAACUUUAUGGUCUUCAAUCUUGAUAAUUUAUGCACACAUUGGAAUCCAUACUUCAUAUGUUCACUUAUAUUUGUUGAUCUCUUGGCACAUCUGUACUAAAUUGUUUGGUAUUAGCCAUUUUCUUUGAUUCAUAUUUCAAUUUUGUAAGUAGCAAGAAUACCUUAGUAAAUGAAAAUAUCAAAAAUAAAAUAAAAAUUGUAAACAGUGCCAAGCGCAUGUAAUUAUAAAAUUGUAAGUCAAUCAUAGCACGUCUGAUUAAAAGCCUCUAAUCCUACCCAUUGUUAACAAUGAUAAACAACUAACGCCACAUAUUUUAGGGGCACGUAGCUCCUAUGAUUUAAAAAUGUCUCUCACAUGAAGCGAACGGAACGUAUCAAAAUCCAUGCAACCUCCUAAUAAAAUUAAAGGAGCUUUAAUGAAAAGGGUUUGAGGCUAAGCUAUUAUUUAACCAAAAAAUCACCAUAAGCUAUUAUUUAACCAAAAAAGCUUCAUAUUUAAUCAUAAGGACAAACUAACUUAUAUUAGACCCAACAAACAGUAAAAGACAUGGGCUGAAUUAAAAGCCCAAAAUGCAAUAAUUUUUUUUUCCAGCCCUGAUUGUAGCAUUAAGUGAUUUGACUCUUAAAUAAAUACAAAAAUAAGCUAUUAUCAUCAAUGUUACCUAUUAUUCAUGUUUUAAAUAGGAAUGCAUCUUAUUAAUCAAGCAACAUGAAUAAAAUCAAAUUAAUCUUAUAGUUCGACUACAAAGCAAAAAUAGCACAUGAAAUUAAAAUUACGUAGUAGCAAUAUACCAUACAAGUCGCCUUGUUAUUUUUUUUAUACAAAUCAAUUUGGAAAUCUUAUUAUUUUUAUUCUCAUCCUGUAAUGUUGCACGAUUAUUUGAACUGUUUAUGUUUAGAUCGUCAUUUAAAAACCAUCUCUACAAAAAGCUAAAUGCAUUCAAAAGUUUUUGCUCAUGUAAUGAUUAUUCAAUAAUUCUUUUGAACACUGAAAUUAUAUUAUUCUAAAAUGGUUUGACGAUAUCUUGUUUGGUUCUUUUGUUGCAAAGUUGCUCUUUAAAUAGUGGCCUAGAUAACAUACGGUUUUGAUUCUUGAGUGACAUUGCUUGAUCACAAAAAAGAAAUGAGAUAGUAGAAAGAAAAAAAAAUCACAAUAGAUUAACCAAAAUAAUUUGGUUCAAAUUUACCUUUAACGAGAAUUAAACUUAAGAUUUCUCAUAUGAAAAUUGUAGUACUAGAAUGUGAAGUUUUUUGGUAAAAGAAAUGAAGGAAAUAAAAUAGCUGGCAUGACAUCAUACUCACCAAUCACGAUGUAUAUGUUCCAUACAUGUGGGGUCUUGGCCUUCCAUUUUUCCUUAUCCGGUCAAUUACUAAGCUAGGUUAGGUUCGGGCAUUGUUAGCAAGUGGUACAUUACAUUUUCAUGGAAGCAUAAUCACGACUCAGGAAGAGGAAAAAGGAAAUAAAAAGCCACUAGAAAUGUAUAUAUUUUCCCAUGGGUGUGUUGUAAGAUUAUGUAUAUUAUAUACAAAUUUAACCAUUAUGAGGUGAUUAAGUGAUUGGGAACGAAUUUUAGACCCAUAUUUUACACGGCAUGUUCUAGGUUAGAUUUUUUGCUCUAGUGAAUCAUACGAUGAUGGCCAGAGGGAUGCCGAAACACUUUUGUGAGUCAUUCUAACCCGGAAAGGGUGGACAUGGCAAAACCACUAGAUAGUUCCCUUUUUAAAAAGAUAAAAAAUAUAUAUACACAAAUUUGCUACACCAACUAGUAUCGAGAAGUCCACAUAAGGUUUGAUUACAAAAGUUAAACUUAAAAGCCGCAGACUUGGGUGGCUAGAGCAAUGUGCUUACUCUUUUGCACCCAAGUUCAAAUCUCCGUUUUCAUAUCUAUAAUUUAGAUGAAUUUAGUAUAGAUUAUCUUAUCGUUUUUUUUUUUUUUAAAUCCUGCUUCAUGAAUAAUUCGAUAUGAUAUGUUUAAACGUAAAACUUGAGUGAAACACAGUGAAAUGAUUAGAAACCAUCUUCACCACAAAUCUGUAACAUAAACAAUUGAAAAGAACAAGUACAAAUGUUUAUAUGAGAGAAGUUGUAAGGACUUGGAUUGUGAGGGUCAUCUCCACUUUGAAAGUAAUAGCUGAAAGUUGGAGGUUCAUGCAGAUUAAACCAUUGGCCAUUGACGAACACCUCAAAAGAGGGAUGAACAGGGAAACCAGCCCUGCUGAAAAUUUUAAGAACAAAAUUAAAAAAUAAACGGUUCAAAGUUCCGAUUUUGUUUUGCCAAUGAAAGUUGCAGGAACGUGAACUAUAUUGCCUCAAUCUUUUCCAUUCAUUUUCUUUGCACACCUCUUGUUCAGAGAAGAACAAAUAUUUUGGUGAUCCUCGGACAUGGCGGCAAAUCCUCUUCUGGCAGGAAUGCAAGACAAUCGAUGAUGCAUAGCUGUUGAGGUCCUUCUCCGGGCAGGAAUUCCGAGAUUGCAUGGUGUUUUGAUCCGCAGAUUUCAAACUUGAUCGUCCAGAGGGUGUGAGCGGAAGAGAGCCGCUGUUGUUUGAGCAAUGUCUCCAACAGAUCCUCACUUCCCCUGAUCUGAAAUUCUCCAAGGGAGACAUAGCAUAGUUCGAUUCCACAGUUAAAAAAUACCCGAUAUUAUAAAUGCAAAUAUAGACAAGGUAAAAUGAAGAAAGAAAAAGAAAAGAAAGGUAAAUUAUAAUUUACAAAUCAUCAGUGUUCAACCGAGAAUCGAUAUAUAUCCUUCUGGUGAAAUCUGUAGCGUAACAACCAGCCUCCUUGUAUAGUAACGCGAUGUACUGGCAUUCGACCAAACACAGUUAAGUGGUGCUAAAUACAGAUAAGUGUCAAAUUAACUUUGAAGACAAUCAAUUUUGUUGGAAAAUUUGAGGACAAUCAAUUUAACAUAGCAACAGAUAAGUGGUACUAAAUACGUACCUGGCUUUGUCUUGAGAGUUGAGAGUUGGAGAGAGUGAAAUUAAGGCUCAUAUGGUGAUUUCAUCAUCUAUCUUUAUGCAAGGAAUGCGAGAUAUGUUCUCCAAUCUUUUCCCUUCUUGUUCCGAUACCUCUUCUUCAGAGAACCCCAGAUGCUCAGAUAAGAAAGAGAUGCCGGCAAACUGCAAACUCUCUUUCGGCAGGAAUUCAAGACUCUCGCAGCUUGAAAUUCGUAGCUGUUGAAGAGAAGUGAGGUGCUCAAGUCCCUUUCCGUUCAAAGAUUUCAGAUUUGAAAGUAUAGAGAUCCAGAGAGUGUGAAGAGUGGCAGGGAGCAGCUGUUCCCUGAGCAACGUCUCCAACAAAUCCUUGUUUCCUUGGAUCCGAAAUUCUCGAAGAGAGGCAAGUUCUUGCAAUCCCCACUCCACUGAAGGCCUCAUUCUCUCACAAUUUUCGAUCCAAAAUGUUUGUAGGUUGGGAGGCGAACCCCUUUGUGCAGGUGACACCAGAUAUGGAAGAUUUUGUAUCCACAAAUGUUGAAGGGCGGUGAGGGUGUGCAUUAGGGCCGGCAACAACUUCAAAUUCUUGCAUUUGGCUGCACAGUCCUGCCAACAACAACAACAACUUCAAUGCAGAAUAAUGCUUCUCCUUUCGCUACAGUCCUGCCAAUGAUAGAGUGGAAUUACUCUCCACUUCCACAGCAGCAGCCUCCAAAUCAGCUGCCAUCGGCAGCCAAUGACGUAGUGUUAUGGCCUAAAAUGUACGUGGUAGAGAAAAAUGAACCCCCGUGUGCACACUUGGCUGCACAUGAAUCAGGGCUGCACAUGAAUCAGAAAAACAAAUACUAUAUAUUAAGAGAAACAAUGAAUGGACCCCUUAGCGACUGGGAAAUCCUGCUAUGUGCGAUAAUGUACAUGAAUCACUACCACGGUUGAGUUGGUACUUACCAAGAAGGUUUCUAAAAAUUUGAGAGCCCGCUGCUCCAACUUUCACCAUCAAACUUGGGUUAAGGCGUAUCAUCGUCUAUUUCUCCACGCCACCUUCCUCUAGAGCAGUUAAUGAAUCAAAUGAUUGCCUGAACAUAUAGUGACCAAAUCUGCAAUGUUCAAAUAAUUUUUUACUUCGUUUGUUAACUUGCUAUGCGAGACACAUGACAUCACACAGGCUAAAAUAUAGAAAACACACCUCUGAGUCCAGAUGCAACUUUGAAUAUUCUCUUGAUUGCUCAUGAAAUCCACAAUGGCGAGAAGAAUGCUAAUAUAUAGAAAACAAGCCGACAAAUACGUUAGUCCCAUCGUGUUGUCCUGACUGAUUGCAUGGUUGAAUUACAUUGAUACAUCGUGUUGUCAGAUAGUGUUGAAGAAGAAUACUUGUCACAAUCAUCAGAUUCAGAUGAGGAGAUUGGUGAUUCUUCACAAGACGAAAAAGAACCAUUCGAUGUUUUUGAUCGUUUCAACGGUGAGCUUCAUAACCUCUUCACAGAUACAAAUUUGGAAACAAAGGCGACGUCGGAAGAGGCACCUAAUCAAACGCAUCAUAUGGUAGAAUUAGAAGAUGUGGAGCAAUUUGAUUUCAAGGAUAUUGGAAAAAACAAGAAAAUGUUAAAGUACAGUAGAAGGAAAAGGUCGGCUUGCGUAUCAGUCAAACGUGAGGCUCAAGAUCAAACUUCCAAAUUUUUGUCAAAGAUGAAAGUUUCAUUGUUUCCUCUGAAAAUGUCUUUAUUCCAUGAAAUGAAGACUGGGAAAGUUAAAGUCAGUAAGAGUGAGGGUGGAAGCAAGGGAGACAAGAAACUUCAAAGGGGUGUUAUCAGACUUAAUGAAGAUAAUUAGCUGGAAUGUUAGAGGAUUGGGAAGUAGACAGAAGAGACUGACAUUGAAACAGCAGUUUUGACGUUUACAGCCCGAUAUCAUUAUAUUAUAAGAAACUAAGAAAACAUCAAUCGAUAGGAGGCUUGUGGCUAGCGUGUGGGGAAGCAGAUUUAAAGAGUGGAUUUUCACCCCUGCUCAAGGAAGUUCUGGGGGCAUAACAGUAAUUUGGAACACCAAACACAUCUCAGUUACUGAAUCUCUGGUUGGAGCUUUCUCUGUCUCCAUAAAAAUUAAGGCUCUCAACGGGUUGGAAUGGUGGUUAUCAGGUGUCUAUGGCCCUUGUAAAAAUAGAGAGCGUAGAGAGUUCUGGGAAGAAAUGGCUGGCCUUUACGGCCUGUGCGGACCAAGAUGGUGUGUAGGAGGAGAAUUUAACGUGGUGAGAUUCGUAAAUGAGAAAUAAAAUGGGGGAAGGUUGACUACAAGCAUGAGGAAUUUUAAUGAUUUCAUUCGAGAAACAGAACUCAAGGAUUUGGAAAUGCACAACGCUCAAUUUACAUGGUCAAAUUUCAGAGAAGAACCUGUGUGUCGGAGGCUAGACAGAUUUCUGCUCUCUGUAGGUUGUGAAGAGAUUUUUCCAGAGGUAAGACAAAUGGCUUUGGCAAGGGUCAUCUCUGAUCAUUGCCCUAUCCAGCUAGAUUCCAACAAGGUGAAAUGGGGGCCAAGUCCUUUUAGAUUCGAAAACAUGUGGCUACAACAUCCAGAUUUCAGGAACAAGUUCAACGUAUGGUGGCAAUCUGAGCAGGUGGAGGGAUGGGAGGGUUACAAGUUUCUGUUCAAGUUAAAAGCCAUAAAAAAAAAGGUGCAAGUAUGGAGUAAGGAGAGUUUCGGGGAAGUCGAGAAAGACUUUAAAGAAGCCGAGGCCAGCUUAGAAGAGUUAGAUAGGAGAGAGGGGACGGAUGGGCUAGAUGUUGAUGCUAGAAGAAAGGGGGAAGAACUACUUUUCCUUGUGGGAGAUCUGGCUUACAAGGAAGAAGUGAAGUGGAGGUAGAGAAGUAAAGUGGAAUGGGCAAAGGUAGGGGACGGUAAUACUAAAUUUUUCCAUCGAGUUGCAAGUGGGAGAAGGAAGAGAAACUAUAUAGAAAGGUUGGAACCGGAUGUUGGGGGAGUGAUAGAGGAUGCGAAAGAGAUAGAAGAACAUAUCGUCAAUUUCUUCAAGUCCCUGUUUAGUAGCAACGAAGAGGCAUGUUGGGGCCUGGAAGGUAUCAAUUGGGCCCCAAUAAGCGAAUUUGAGGCAGAUUGGCUUGAGAGGCCUUUUGAGGAAGCCGAAGUUCAAAGAGCAGUUUUUGAUUGUGGAAAGGAUAAAUCGCCAGGACCGGAUGGCUAUUCUUUGCAAAUGUUUCAGCAUUGUUGGGAUAUCUUGAAGGCAGACAUUAUGAAGAUUAUGGAGGAGUUCUAUGACACAGGGAUAAUAAAUGCGGUGACAAAUGAAACUUUUAUUUGUCUAAUUCCGAAGAAGUCAGAUUCUUUGAAAGUGACAGACUACAGGCCUAUAAGUCUUGUUACUGGUUUGUAUAAAAUUAUGGCGAAAACCUUGGCCUCAAGAUUAAAGGAGGUAUUGGGCAGCACAAUUUCUCCAAAUCAAGGAGCGUUUGUUAAGGAUCGACAAAUUUUGGAUGCCAUCCUUAUUGCAAAUGAAGUGGUAGAAGAGGUCAGGCAAAAGAAAGAGGAGGGAUUGGUGCUCAAAAUAGAUUUUGAGAAAGCAUAUGAUCAUGUCGAGUGGAGAUUUUUGGAUGAAGUCUUACAAAGAAAAAUCUUUGGCAAUAGAUGGAGGAAAUGGAUGCAGGGAUGCUUAAGUUCGGCAAAUUUCUCCGUUUUGAUCAACAGGAGGCCUAGGGGAAAAUUUCAAGCGUCAAGAGGUUUGAGACAAGGUGACCCACUGUCACCUUUUCUUUUUACCUUAGUAGUCGAUGUCUUGAGUAGGUUAAUGGAGAAGGCUCAAGAAAAUCAUCUCAUCAAAGGUUUAUGCAUUGGGCAAGAAAAGGUGGAGAUUUCUCAUCUUCAAUUUGCAGAUGAUACCAUUUUUUUCUUGGCGGAAGAUGAGGGAGUUUGGAACAAUCUAUUAGAGGUGCUCAACUUAUUCUGUUCUGUUUCAGGGUUGAAAAUCAACAAAGCUAAGUGUUAUUUGGCUGGAAUAAACUCAGAUUGUGAGAAAUUAAAUAGGUUGGCAGAUUCUUGGGGUUGUGAGGUGGGUAGCUGGCCUAUAAAGUAUUUGGGACUCCCUCUUGGGGGUAGGCCAAGAGCACUUAAGUUUUGGGAUCCAGUGGUAGAAAGAUGGAAAAAAGACUUCAAAGCUGGAAGAAGGCCUUCUUAUCUACAACAACAACAACAACAACAACAAAGCCUUUUCCCACUAAGUGGGGUCGGCUAUAUGAAUCCUAGAACGCCAUUGCGCUCGGUUUUGUGUCAUGUCCUCCGUUAGAUCCAAGUACUCUAAGUCUUUUCUUAGAGUCUCUUCCAAAGUUGUCCUAGGUCUUCCUCUACCCCUUCGGCCCUAAACCUCUGUCCCGUAGUCACAUCUUCGAACCGGAGCGUCAGUCGGCCUUCUUUGCACAUGUUCAAAAUCACCGGAGCCGAUUUUCUCUCAUAUUUCCUACAAUUUCGGCUACUCCUACUUUACCUCGGAUAUCCUCAUUCCCAAUCUUAUCCUUUCUCGUGUGCCCACACAUCCCACGAAGCAUCCUCAUCUCCGCUACACCCAUUUUGUGUACGUGUUGAUGCUUCACCACCCAACAUUCUGUGCCAUACAACAUCGCUAGCCUUAUUGCCGUCCUAUAAAAUUUUCCCUUGAGCUUCAGUGGCCUACGACGGUCACACAACACGCCGGAUGCACUCUUUCCAUCCAGCUCGUAUUCUAUGGUUGAGAUCUCCAUCUAAUUCUCCGUUCUCUUGCAAGAUAGAUCCUAGGUAGCGAAAACGAUCGCUUUUUGUGAGCUUCGCUAGAUUGCUCCGGUCAUUAGUGUGGAUAAGUAUAUAAAUGGAUAGAGAUAGGAAAGCAAACACAAGAUGUACGUGGUUCACCCAGAUUGGCUACGUCCACGGAAUAGAAGAGUUCUCAUUAAUUGUGAAGGGUUUACACAAGUACAUAGGUUCAAGCUCUCAUUUAGUGAGUACAAGUGAAUGAUUUAGUACAAAUGACAUUAGGAAAUAUUGUGGGAGAAUGAUCUCGUAAUCACGAAACUUCUAAGUAUCGGAGUGUGGUGUCGUCUUGACUUGCCUUAUCUGUCUCAUAGGUAGAUGUGGCAUCUUCUCUGGAAGUACUCUUCCUCCAUCCAGGGGUGGUAUCUUUAACUGGUGGAGAUGCACAAGGUAAUGUAUCAAUUUCACUUGAAGCUUACUUGUAGUUUCAGGCUUGGUCAAGCGCGAUACAAACCAUGUAGUAGGAGUCCCCCAAGUCGCCGAGCUAGGGGGUCUGCUGAAAGAGGUGACAGACAAGGUAAGCAAUCAGAGCUCCGACUGAUUGUUCACCUUCUCCCCAUCUUGCAGCAGCAUGAAGGAUAAAGAGAAGAAAAAUGAGAAGAGAUGAUAUGAGAUACUUUUGCUUUUGAAGAAGUAACUUUCCACAGGCUUAUUCUUGAACUGAGCUGGAGGGUUUUCUGGUUUCCUCCAGAGUAUAAGGCCGACUGAAGAAUUUGAGGGUCAAAACAAGUCCAUCAAAUCUAGAGUACGUUCCACCCUGCUGAUAUGGGAUACUUUUGCUUUUGACAGAGUAAUGAAUGUAUCGGCACGUGUGCUGUUACGCUUGUCUCCACAUGCUUCCUUGUAUCCUUCGCACUUGCCCUAUCUGUUCCUCAAGCAGAUGCGGAAUCUUCCCUGGAAACAUAAGAUGUUGAAGAUGAGUACUCGAGAGCAAUGCCAGGUAAGUAAUCAGGUAAAAGGGUUCCAGGCAGUCAGUUCCUGGCUGGAAGCUUGAUUCCAAGUGCUGACUGAUUGCUCUCUUUCUCCUUGUCUUGCAGGUAAAAACAAGGCCAAAAGAAAAGACAGGGAAAAAGCAUGAUAUGGGAUACUCUUGCUUUUAACCCUGAUGAUAUGAGAUAUUCUUGCUCUAGUAUAGCUUGUUUGCAGAGGUAUUAUCGGGGGGAAAGAAAGCUGAAUAUUUCGAAAGGCUUCGUUGGGAGUGCCCUCUCAGAUAUGAUGAAGGGUUGAGCAUUUUUGCAGGUCUGCCUAUCCGUUGGGGAUGGAGGUCGACAUAUAUAGGAGUCUCCCUAACAACAAGUAGUAAUGCUAUUCCUUUUACCCUGCUUGGUCAUAGCACGGUAGUGGGAGCUGCCAGUUUCACAUGUUUUAACUCUGUCAGAGCACUUUGAAAAAAGUGGUCUGUGGUAUCUGGCUCUCGAGAUUCGGAGAACGAUGCCUCUUCGAUUUUUGAGAAAGCAAUCAUGCUGGGGGUAUGACUCUCGAGAUUCGGAGAGCAGUGUCUCUUCGAUUUUUGAGGAAGUAAUCAUGUUGGGAGUCUGGCUCUCGAGAUUCGGAGGGCGGUGCCUCUUCGAUUUUGGAGCAAGCAAUCUUGUUGGGAGUGUUGUCUCGAAUGUGAGUAGUAAAGGUUGGGCAUGUUUGCUAGUCUACCUUGCCACGAAGCACAAAGGUUGACACACAGGGAAUUUCCAAUUAUCCAGCAAUGGUACUGUUCCUUUACCCUCUCUUCGAUUUUGAGAAAGUAGUCAUGUUGGGAGUCUGGCUCUCGAGAUUCGGAGGACGGUGCCUCUUCGAUUUUGGAGCAAGCAAUCUUAUUGGGAGUGUUUUCUCGAAUGUGAGUAAAGGUUGGGCAUGUUUGCUAGUCUACCUUGCCACGAAGCACAGAGGUUGACACACAGGGACUUUCCAAUUAUCCAGCAGUGGUACUGUUCCUUUACAGUUGUGGGUAAUAAUAUGGUAGCUAGACCUUCAAAAUUUAUGUGUCUAAACUUUUUAGUGCUGUUUCUUUGCUAUUCUUUUACCUUUCUUGGUCAGAGCGAUGUAGUGGGAGCUGCAAGCUUCACGUGCUCAACUUUGGCAGAGAACUUUGGCAAAGUUAUUUGUGGUACCCAUGAGCUAUUGUUGCGUGUGGGAAGUGGGUGAUUGAACAGUAAGAUUCAUGUGCUUUCUACUUCACCAGAAGUCUUCGACAGAAUGCCCAUAAUUUCUGCAAAGCUGAGUGUGCGUGUGACAGGUGCUGACAAGGCUAGAAAAGUAGGUGCCUCUUCGAUUUCUGAGAUCGGCCCUCGUGGUCUCUGAGCAGCCCAGCUUUUGAGAAAGCGAGCGCCUCUUCGAUUGAUUCGGAGAACGAUGCCUCAUCGAUUUUUGAGAAAGCAAUCAUGCUGGGGGUCUGGCUCUCGAGAUUCGGGGAGCAGUGUCUCUUCGAUUUUUGAGAAAAGUAAUCAUGUUGGGAGUCUGGCUCUCGAGAUUCGGAGGGCGGUGCCUCUUCGAUUUUGGAGCAAGCAAUCUUGUUGGGAGUGUUUUCUCGAAUGUGAGUAAAGGUUUGGCAUGUUUGCUAGUCUACCUUGCCACGAAGCACAGAGGUUGACACACAGGGACUUUCCAAUUAUCCAGCAAUGGUAAUGUUCCUUUACCCUCUCUUCGAUUUUUAAGAAAGUAGUCAUGUUGGGAGUCUGGCUCUCGAGAUUCGGAGGACGGUGCCUCUUCGAUUUUGGAGCAAGCAAUCUUAUUGGGAGUGUUUUUCUCGAAUGUGAGUAAAGGUUGGGCAUGUUUGCUAGUCUACCUUGCCACGAAGCACAGAGGUUGACACACAGGGACUUUCCAAUUAUCCAGCAGUGGUACUGUUCCUUUACCCUUGUGGGUAAUAAUAUGGUAGCUAGACCUUCAAAAUUUAUGGGUCUAAACUUUGUUAGUGCUGUUUCUUUGCUAUUCUUUUACCCUUCUUGGUCAGAGCAAUGUAGUGGGAGCUGCAAGCUUCACGUGCUCAACUUUGGCAGAGAACUUUGGCAAAGUUAUCUGUGGUACCCAUGAGCUAUUGUUGCGUGUGAGAAGUGGGUGAUUGAACAGUAAGAUUCAUGUGUUUUCUACUUCCCCAGAAGUCUUUGACAGAAUGCCCAUAAUUUCCGCAAAACUGAGUGUGCGUGUGACAGGUGCUGACAAGGCUGGAAAAGGCUGGAAAAGUAGGUGCCUCUUCGAUUUCUGAGAUCGGCCCUCGUGGUCUCUGGGGAGCCCAGCUUUUGAGAAAGCGAGCGCCUCUUCGAUUUUUGAGAUCGGCCUUCGUGGUCUUUGAGCAGCCCAACUUUUGAGAAAGCAAACGCCUCUUCGAUUUCUGAGAUCAACCCUCGUGAUCUCUAAGCAGCCCAGCUUUUGAGAAAGCAAACGCCUCUUCGAUUUCUGAGCAGGCGCCUCUUCGAUUUCUGAAGCUUCGUCGAGUGCAGAUUUUUUAUAGGGGCUGGCAUUAAGUUCCAAAGCACACUUGAAUCUCCACCAGUAGAAGCUUCAUUCUUGCACUUCUAAGAUCUUGAUUUGUCCGACCUCUUCUCUCUUUCAACACCUUUGAAAAUGUCUGGCCCCUCCGACCGUCGUUUUGACUUGAACCUUGUUGAAGAGGCAGCCCUGCCUUCUCCAGACAACAUAUGGCGCCCAUCCUUCGUCUCCCCUACUGGUCCUCUUACCGUUGGGGAUUCCGUGAUGAAGAAUGAUAUGACCGCUGCGGUGGUGGCCAGGAACCUUCUCACUCCCAAAGAUAACAGACUACUUUCCAAACGGUCUGAUGAGUUAGCUGUUAAGGAUUCGCUGGCUCUCAGUGUUCAGUGUGCAGGUUCUGUGUCUAAUAUGGCCCAACGCCUAUUUGCUCGAACCCGCCAAGUUGAAUCAUUGGCGGCUGUGAAGUGAUGAGUCUCAAACAGGAGAUUAGAGGGCUCAAGCAUGAGAAUAAACAGUUGCACCGGCUCGCACAUGACUAUGCUACAAACAUGAAGAGGAAGCUUGACCAGAUGAAGGAAACUGAUGGUCAGGUUUUACUUGAUCAUCAGAGAUUUGUGGGUUUGUUCCAAAGGCAUUUAUUGCCUUCGUCUUCUGGGGCUGUACCGCGUAAUGAAGCUCCAAAUGAUCAACCUCUGAUGCCUCCUCCUUCUAGGGUUCUGUCCAGUACUGAGGCUCCAAAUGAUCCCCUUCCGGUGCCUUCUCUUUCUGGGGCUCUACCGACUGCUGAGACUUCUCCUAAGCAACCUUUGUGAAGGCUCCCUCUUGUGUGCUUAUUUUGACUCAUGUAUAUGUACAUAUUUGUAGCUUAUCGGGGAUAUCAAUAAAUAAGCUUUCCUUCAUUUCAACGUAUUGUGUUAAAUACACCAAAGCCUUCUUUCGCUAAGUUCUUUGAAUUUUCUUUUUGUUAAAGCUUGUAUGUUGAAGCUUUCUGAGUAGAGCAUGUAGGUUGGGGUAGUGUUCCCUUAAUUUCCCGAGUGAGGAAAACUUCUCGGUUGGAGACUUGGAAAAUCCAAGUCACUGAGUGGGAUCGGCUAUAUAAAUCUUAGAACGCCAUUGUGCUCGAUCCUGUGUCAUGUCCUUCGUUAGAUCUAAGUACUCUAAGUCUUUUCUUAGAGUCUCUUCCAAAGUUUUCCUAGGUCUUCCUCUACCCCUUCGGCCCUGAACCUCUGUCCCAUAGUCGCAUCUUCUAAUCGGAACGUCAGUAGGCCUUCUUUGCACAUGUCCAAACCACCGUAACCGAUUUUCUCUCAUCUUUCCUUCAAUUUCGGCUACUACUUUACCCCGGAUAUCCUCAUUCCUAAUCUUAUCCUUUCUCGUGUGCCCACACAUCCAACGAAGCAUCCACAUCUCCGCUACACCCAUUUUGUGUACGUGUUGAUGUUUCACCGCCCAACAUUCUGUGCCAUACAGCAUCGCCGGCCUUAUUGCCGUCCUAUAAAAUUUUCCCUUGAGCUUCAGUGGCAUACGGCGGUCACACAACACGCCGGAUACACUCUUCCACUUCAUCCAUCCAGCUUGUAUUCUAUGGUUGAGAUCUCCAUCUAAUUCUCCGUUCUUUUGCAAGAUAGAUCCUAGGUAACGAAAACGGUCGCUCUUUGGUAUUUCUUGAUCUCCGAUCCUCACCCCUAACUCGUUUUGGCCUCCAUUUGCACUGAACUUGCACUCCAUAUAUUCUGUCUUUGAUCGGCUUAGGCGAAGACCUUUAGAUUCCAAUACUUCUCUCCAAAGGUUAAGCUUUGCAUUUACCCCUUCCUGAGUUUCAUCUAUCAACACUAUAUCGUCUGCGAAAAGCAUACACCAAGGAAUAUCAUCUUGAAUAUGUCGUGUUAACUCAUCCAUUACCAACGCAAAAAAGGUAAGGACUUAAGGAUGAGCCUUGAUGUAAUCCUACAGUUAUGGGAAAGCUUUCGGUUUGUCCUUCAUGAGUUCUUACGGCAGUCUUUGCUCCUUCAUACAUAUCCUUUAUAGCUUGGAUAUAUGCUACUCGUACUCCUUUCUUCUCUAAAAUCCUCCAAAGAAUGUCUCUUGGGACCCUAUCAUACGCUUUUUCCAAAUCUAUAAAGACCAUGUGUAAAUCCUUUUUCCCAUCUCUAUAUCUUUCCAUCAAUCUUCGUAAGAGAUAGAUUGCCUCCAUGGUUGAGCGCCCUGGCAUGAACCCGAAUUGGUUGUCCGAAACCCGUGUCUCUUGCCUCAAUCUAUGCUCAAUGACUCUCUCCCAGAGCUUCAUUGUAUGACUCAUUAUCUAGAGGAGGUAAAUUAACUCUGAUUCAAUCUGUUUUGGGAAGCUUGCCGAUCUACUACAUGUCUUUGUUCAAAAUUCCUUGUGGGGUGAUUGGACGCCUAGAAAAACUAAUGAAAGGGUUUUUGUGGGAAGGUGUGGAGGAAGGAAAGAAAAACCACCUGUUAAAAUGGGACAUAGUUAUUAAAGGUAAAGAGGAAGGAGGUUUAGGGUUGGGGAAUUUGAGGAAUCGGAACGAAGCAUUACUUGCUAAGUGGUUGUGGAGAUUCCCAAAGGAACCUCAUUCCCUCUGGCACAAGGUGAUAAGAAGCAAGUAUGGGCUACAGAAUAACGGAUGGAAUGCAUUUCCUCCGAUGAGGGGUUCAAGUCGUAGCCCAUGGAAAGAUAUUUCGAGUGGUUCCCAAUCGUUUCUUCAUUGCUGUAAGUUUGAGGUGGGCAACAGGGAGAGGGUGAGGUUUUGGGAGGAUGGGUGGUUAGAAGGAGGACCAUUGAAAGAGCAAUUUCCUAGACUAUUCUUGCUAUCGAGGAUGCACAAUCAGAACAUUUCAAGUUUUGUGGAUCUUUCUACCAAUUCUUUGAGUUGGAAUUUUGAUUUCAGGAGAAAUUUGAAUGAGGCGGAGAUAGAAGAGGCGGCUAGAUUAUUACAGAAAGUGGAAGAGGUUCGCUUAUCUCAAUCAAGAACGGAUAACAGAAGGUGGAAACUGGAAGCAUCAGGAUUGUUCACAUGCAAAUCCUAUCGCUCCUUCUUGAGUAACAAUGGGAUUAUGCAAUAUUUUCCACCUUAUUCACAGAUUUGGAAAUCAAAAGUUCCUCCGAAGGUCAAAAUUCUUGUCUGGCUGGUGGCCAAAGGGAAGCUCAACACUUGUGACCAAAUUCAAAGGAGAAGCCAUUUUAUAUGCUUAUCCCCACAUUGGUGCAGUUUGUGCAAAGCUAGCGAGGAGAGUGUAAACCAUAUUUUUCUCCAUUGUUCUUACACGAUUCAAUUGUGGUGGAAAUUGUUUCAGGAGGUUAGAGCUAGUUGGGUCAUUCCAAAAGGUUGCUUCGAGCUUCUAAGCACCAAGUUUCAGGCCCUAGGAAUUGGGAGAAAAGCCAAAGUUUUGUGGGGUUGUCUGGUCUCGGCAAUUUUUUGGAACAUAUGGCUGGAGCGUAACAAAAGAAUUUUUGAGGAUUAUACGGGUGUGGGGGUAGAAGCACUUUGGGGAAGAGUAAAAUAUUGGGCAGCCCUAUGGGCUUCAGUCUCAAAUGAUUUUAAUAAUUACUCUCUUUCUCAAUUACUAUGGGAUUUGUUAGCAGCAGUAAAGUGAGUUAGGUCUAGCUAUUAUUGCUGUAGCCAAAUCCUAUUGAGUGUUUUUCUUGUAUCUUGUAAAUGGUGGAUUUCUUAUCCACUUCAGUGUAUUUCUAUUCUCUUUUAUAAAAUGUUUGUUUCUUCUCAAAAAAAAAUAAAGGAAGAACAAAUUACACUCUAGUGUUCAACUACGUACACUGAAAUCUGUAGGCGCAGCAGCUAGCCACCAAGUCUAGUUACACUGGCAUUCUAGCAAGCGGUGCCAAUAAACAUAUGUAUAUGCACCUACCACAAGAUGACAUAGGCAUUGAAAGAUGAGUAAGCAUUCCGCCAUAUGAAAACCACAGAAGUAUAUAUAUGCACAAGUACCUGAGUGGUUGAUGUAAGCAAACAUCGUUUUCCCUCUGAUACAUUCAAUCUUUAUAUAGCUGUUCAAGAGAGCUGAGGUCUGGAGGUCCCUGUCGCAGCAGGAAUUGCGAGAGUAGGAGAUGUUGAAAGUCCAUUUCCGUCCAAAAGAUUUCAAACUUGACAGUCCAGAAAAUCAGAGCACCAUUUGAUAAUCCUAUCUUUACAGGUUUGCUUGCUCGCUGCAUCUAUGAAACCGAUGUAUCACACCUACCAGAAGAUUAGAGUUAUGUCGCAAAAAAGAGAAGUAUGAGAAAAGCAUCAUCAAGGGUUUUAUCUCUUGUCAUGCAGGAGAAUCAUAGAUAUCGACCCCAAGUAGUUCCUUCCCGUCCAAAGAUUUCAGAUUCCAUACAUAAGAGAUUUUGAGAGCGUGAAGAGUGGCAGGGAGCAGCUGUUCAUUGAGCAACGUCUCCACCAGAUCCUUGUUUCCUUCGAUCCAAAAUCGUUGAAGAGAGGCAAGUCCUUGCAAUCCCCACUCAACUGAAGGCCUCAGUCUCUCACAAUUACCGAUCCAAAAUGAUUGGUUGGGAGGCAAACCCCCUUGUGCAAAUGACACCACGUUUGGAAGAUCGGAUAUCGACAAUUCUAAACCUUAACAAAAGGAAUAAGUGGUGUUGAUUCCAAGUGGUGAUGCUUCAUGAUUCUAAAACUUAUUAUGUAGUAUCAAUCGGUUCAUCAAAUUCAAAGGUUUGUGAUCUUACCACACUUCCUUGAAUGCAGUGCAGGGGUUCACCUACCUCUUGCUCUGAUUCAAUUCCGUUUAGUCCAGGAUCCAUUUUUUACUUCAGUACUCUAAUCUUUCUCUUUCUCUUCAUUUCGACAGCACUAUCCCAUUUUCCUGCACCAUCAUAGAGGUUCAACAAGAUGUUAGUUGCACUAUCUUGUGAGUCUAAACUUAAACCUGCUCUGCUGCACGAGCUUAGUAACGCUCUCCACAAUCCAAGAUCAUUUCCAUUAAACGGUUAACUGAUAACAAGUUCCCCUUCUGCAUCCAAUAAUCAACUUGACAAACUAACCAUGCAAGGGUAGUGCUUAGGCCUAGGAAUCUGAUUCUGAUUCAACCUCAUUUCAGUUCAUCCUCAAUUCAAUUCCUCACAAUCUGAUUAAGGAUUAGUAAACGAGCCAUUCUAUGUAUUCUACUCCAAUUCCAAAAGCUCUAUCUUCAACUUCCUGUAAAAAAAAAUUAAGAAACUUUUGGGCAUGACUUCAACUCUGUGUAGCACUUAAUGUUACAAGUGUAUUAGUCGUUAGAUUUAAUUUUCACAAUUAUUACAUUUUAUAUUUCCUAUUCUGAUUAUUUAUUUUCUGUAACACUCAGUACUUGUGAUAUUGUUGAUGGAAGUGAAGCGAAAACAAAAGUGGGGGAGUGUUGGAGCAAGGUAACCAGUUAUUACAGUGGCCGAAUAACAAGAUCCAGAAGUUCAUCCCAGAACCCAAAUGACGUUAACAAUUAUCCGAAGGGUGAUGGCUGUACAAUCCAUCUUUCCACUGGAAAGUCAACACAACCACCUCAGCCUUUAAGUACCAGGUCACAAGCUGUGCAUGGUACUGAAAAAAUAGUGAAAGACGCUAUCACCAAUAUAUCUGGUCAAAGAAUUAAUCAGUCAACAUCUUCUUCAUCUAACAAGUCUCAUGAUUCACAGAGAACUCAAAUAUCUGCUGGAAGGUCUGUUCCAAUUCAAUGUGAUAUAGACCUGUGUGCAGAGAAUUCAACAGAUUCUUCAGACAAGGAAAAUGAUGCAGAUCACUAUGCUGGUAGAAAGAUAAGUGCAGAAACUAAUUGUACUACUGAAGGAAUGUCAAAACCGGUCAAUUCACAGGCUUUGGUUCACAGGGGUACACAGUCCAGAUCCGCCUGCUUCAAGCAAGCAUUUGUCUGAAAAAAUGACACAGAGGGGUACACAGUACAAAGAGGUACCUUGUACUCAAACCUGUGAAUUUGUUAAAGCUGCAUCUGGUGGAGAAACAGAAAUUGAUCCUGAUGUAUCUGUUGAAGGUUCUGGAUCAAAAUUGGAUGGUACUGGGGUUAGAGUUGGAGUGGAAGUUUUAGCCUCAAGGCAGCCUGCUGAUUGUAAUGUGCUUGUGAAUCCCAAGCAACUUAAUUUUGAUGAUGUGGAAGAAUCCUGUAGGAAUGGAAGUUAUACUCCUGCUUUUAAUGAGGGAAUGCAGGGAAGAUCAUCAGAGAAAAGGUCUAUUUCCUUGAUGGACGCUGAUGAUAUACAGGAAGAAGGAAAGACUGUCAAUUAUCAAGAAAAUCAUAACUCGUCCCUGCCAAUGAAUUUUCUUGGGGAUCUGGAAGUUUCAGUCAAAGGGAAGGACCUCCAGAGUGGUCUAUCUGAAUCUCCUGCAGAGGAGGAUAGAAGUGUCUUGAAUGGAAAUGCUGUCUCAUCAGUAAAGGAGACAUCUGAUGUUCAUAAUGAUGCAGUUGCUAAUACGUUGCUAGAGAGCGGCAAUACAGACUCUUGGUGUGUAACAACCCGUCCCGGUUAACUGUUUUACGGACUUUGAAUCAGGAGGGCAGAAAUGUAAUUUCAUGGAAUUGGGAGUUUUGUUUUGAAAUGGGUUGUUUUAGUUCUUAAAUGGUGUGCCCAAGGUGGGGCCCACCCCUGUUUUGUCCCCCCGGCCUCUUCCCUUCGCUGCCACAUGGCAGCCUCCCCGAGCUCUUCCUCAACUCUCUCUUCUCUCAGUUCACUCACUCUCACACUCUCACUCUCGAAUCUCUCUCAGAGCUCACUCUCUCCCUUUCCCCUUCCCGAUCGACACCCACACACCCAGACACCCCCACACCCAAGGAGAAUCACCGACGACGACACCACCACACUCACCACUGUGAUAACACACACUCUCUCUCUCUCCCUCCUCACCUCUGUGGAACAAUGAGAACCUCCGGCGAACCCGUGGGUUUCGAGCAAGAAUUUGACCACCUCCGGCCACUUCACAGUGUGAGACAGGUACCAAACGCCCCCUUUCGUCUUUAUCUACUUUUUCGUACCUAUAUUGUAGCCUAGGGUUUAGUUUCGACGCAAUCGGACCUCGGGAGGCUCUGGCCUUCUCUCCUCGUUGAGAAACAGGCCUUCAAGCCCAAACCCACAGAGCCAAGACCUUUGGGCCAAGAAGCUUAGGGCCUUUGGCCCAUUGAAACAAAAACCCAAAAUCCUUUUGAAAUUAGGCCUUCGGGUCGAGUGGCAUGGGCCCUUGGCUCAAUCCUUGGGCUGGGCCUUAAGCCCAAAACCCUAAACCCAAUGACCCUAAACCUUUUUUCCUUGGGCCGGGCUCUAAGCCCAAAACCCUAAACCCAAACCUAUUGGACCCAAGCCCAAGAACCCUAGGCCCAACCGUAAGCCCUAAACUUGGUUAAUCCGAUUAACCCGACCCGAACCAUUGACUAUGACCAAACCUGGUCAAUGGUUAACAUGGACUUUGACUUUGACCGAUCAAAGAUCAACGUUGACUUUUUAACCUUUUUUUUCAGGUUUUUGUUCGGAACCCUUCCUAGGCUAAUUUCGACGUUCUGGAUCCAUUUCCAACAUCCAUUUUCCCAAGUUCAAUCGUUUGACUGUAGUUUUAUUAAUUGGACCUUUUAUGUGCUUAGGUGCAUAUAUUGUGACGUUUCCAUUUUUGCUAGCUUGCGCGGCUUUUCGACGGCAAAGUACUAUGAGUGAACCCUUUCUCAAAUGCAUGGUUUAAUAGUAGAAAUGCAUACAUGAAAAACAGGAUUUAAUGACUACGUUCGCUUUGAAUUUUUUAUUAUCAUGAUAUACUGAGAAUAUUUUGGAAUACCAUAUUUUAUCAUACUUAUGUUCUUUGUAGUAUAUAUGAUGGAUGACUAUAUACUAUUUAUGAACAUGUUUUUACACUUCUUUAUAUAUAUGAUGGAUGACUCAAAUGGGAUGAAGCCACAUCCUACUCCAAUGGCUCAAAGUCCUCGCCCGCACGAGCUAAAACUGCACAAGGCAUCAACCGCUCCAAUGCCUUAAAGUCCUCACCCACAUGAGCUAAAACUGCACAAGGCAUUAAAAGCUCCAAUGGUUUAAAGUCCUUGCCCGCAUGAGCUAAAACUGCACAAGGCAUUAAAUGCUCCAAUGGCUUAAAAUCCUUGCCUGCACGAGCUGAAACUGCACAAGGCAUCAAACCCCAACAAAACACAUAAAGAACUACGAGUGACUUGAUCCCUCAAUGAGAGUACGUAGGCAAUCUAGGGCUCUACCUAAACGCAGUCACAAAAUCAAAUAAACACCCAAGUUAGGAUUUAUUCAUAUUAGAAUCAAAGGGUAUUCCUUUCCCAAAUGAAGGGUUGUAAUUAAUAGGCGCGUAGCCUAGAAUGGGUCAAACUCGAAUUAAUAAAAAAAAUGAACGAAGGUGAAACUGUGUCAAGUGAAUUAUUUAUUUACAUAUUGUGUACAAUUCUUUUGCUCAACAUGUAAAUUUCAAAGACUGCAAGCAAAACCAAGUUUUCUGUCUUUAGUUUUCUUUCAUUACUUUUUUUAUAUCCAUUUUCUAACAUGUCAUUACAUAAUCUGAUUGUGUGCUCAUCUCUUUUUAAUUGUAUUAUUGUAUCAGGCAAAGAAAACCACAUUUAUGGCAAGGACUUUAUGCAGAACGGGCAGGGAACCACCAAUAUUUUGGUGGAUCUGCCAAAUGCCUUAAUUGUUGCUGGAGAUUCAAGAGUUACAGCAUAUUCCGGCGAAAGUAAUAUUUCUUUAUCUUUAACUAACAAAUUGAUUAUUAUUUAACUAUGUUUAUUGUAUAUGUAGUAUAUUAAUUGGUUCUAAUUUAUGUAUACAGUUAGACCCGAAGAAAAGAAAGUUAAACACAUUUCUAAGAAUCCUCCAAUACGAGCAACAUGGUGUCAUGAUCAAUAUGAACAUAGUCAAACCUGUGAAGUGGAAGAGGGAAAAAUAGGCGAAUUUUCAAGCAAGGAAAGAAGCAUUGCUCUCUCCUAAUGGACUCUAAUAUAUUCCUUGUGAAUAUAUGUCCUAACAUCUGAUGCGCAUCACAUUGAUCAUGACACCAUGUUGCUCGUGUUGGAGGAUUCUUAGAAAUGCGUUUAACUUUCUUUUCUUCGGGUCUAACUAUAUACAUAAAUUAGAACCAAUUAAUAUACUACAUAUACUAUAAACAUAAUCAAAUAAUAAUCAAUUUGGUAGUUAAAGAUAAAUAAAUAUUACUUUCGCCGGAAUAUGCUGUAACUCUUGAAUCUCUAGCAACAAUUAAGGCAUCUGGCAGAACCACCAAAAUAUUGUUGGUUCCACGCAUGCUCUGCGUAAAGUCCUUGCCAUAAAUGUGGUUUUAUUUGCCUGAUACAAUAAUACAAUUAAAAAGAGAUGAGCACACAAUCAGAUUAUGUAAUGGCAUGUUAGAAAAUGGACAUAAAAAAAGUAAUGAAAGAAAACUAAAGACAGAAAACUUGGUUUUACUUAGAGUCUUUGAGAUUUUCUGUUUAAUUGUUCUCGUCAAAUUGCUUGUCUACUUUUAUUUGGUCUUUUAUAAUGUAUAAGAUUGUGUUUGAUAGGGUGAAUAUACUGAUGAACUGAACGUAGUCAAACCUCCUGAUACAAGUCCCUGUGAAGUGGAAGAGGGAAAAAUAGGCGAAUUUCAAAGCAAGGAAAGAAGCAUUGCUCUCUCCUAAGAGGGAAAAAUACCGACUAUACGGACUACAGAAAAAUUACUGCUACUUUCAUUGUCAGAUGGCAUCAGUAGUGUUUUUAACUUUUCUUUAUCUUUAUCCCUACCAUAGGGACAGAAUCCUUCCUCAACUACAUAAGUUGUGGGAGUUCUUUGUGAAACCUUGAGCCCAAUACCUUCUCUAAGACCAAGGUGAUUUCGCUGUUCUGCAAGGUGUUCUAACCUCUGAAAUAACUCCUCUAUCCUACCAUUCAUGCCAUUGUAAUUAAAAGGAAUACGAGAGGUAGAGAGGAAAUUGCACACCUGGGUGUGCUUAGUCUGAUCUGCCGACGCAAAGCUUCAAUAUCCAUCUCAUCCACCAAGUCCUUGGUAUCGAACACAGCAUCUUUGACUCGUCAAGCCACAUCCCCACAGCAGGGUUGACAAUCUGCUUCUCUUCUGCAUCGUUGAGCACUGCGUGGAGGGUCAUCAACGUCACCUUUAGCUUGUCCACGAGUGAAUGGUUGAGUCUUCUUGCCGGAAGAAGUUCACAAACUCUCCGGAGGCAAUCUUGUCGCACAGCACCUGGAUGGAACCGAAGAGCAAAGCCUCUCCAACCAAAGCCAUUUUCUCUCUUCGUGGCCAAAGGACUAAUUUUGAUCAAGUAUUUGAAGUUGGGAAACUGAAAAUUGUUCUUGGCAAAGGCUGUUAAGAUUACUUCAUGACUGGUGAGAUGACUUGAUAAUUUUUUGUCAAUAAUGCAGUGGACCACACACGGCAAACAUAGUAAAAAAGAAUCAUGCAAUGUAUUUGGAUAUCAACAUUUUUCCGUAUGAUAUGAUCACGUGGACCCCACCCAUCCUCUUGUCACCAUCCUCCACCAUCCUUUUGUCAUUAUUUCUACUCUAAUUCCAAAGCAUCUUCGUGUGAAAAUAAAGUAAGAGAGUUUCGGGAUAACCUCAAUAUUAUGUAUCAUUUAAUGUACUGUAUUAAUAAUUGGACUCAAUUUCUACAAUUAUUAUUUACUUUUUAUAUUUUCAAGCUCAACCUCUUAUUUUCUACAACACUCAAUACCACGUGCUACGGAUAUUUUUUUUUUUUGAAAAGUUUCUUACUUUUUCUUGCUUUGCCUAUAUAUUUUCAACAUUUAUGGGAUCAUUCGUGUUCAGGAUUUGGUUUGCAUAUAUAUUCAACAUUCAUGGGACCAUUCGUGCUUUGCCUAUAUUUUCUUCGGUUAGCCAAUUUUGUGUCAAGGUUUCCAUGUUUUUGCACAAACUAUUAAGCAAACACUCUAGUUGCAUACUUAUAUUGUCAAAUUAUCGAAUUUGAUACUACAAAAUUAUACAAAAGUAUACGUUAUCGCUCUUUAAUUCAGAUUAACAGUGCGCUCCCUCUUCUGCAUCUAAAUUUAGGGCUGGUUCGGUAUAGGAUACCGAACCGAAAUCCUUGUCCCAAUUCCCAAACCGAAGUUUUCGGGAAUCCCAAUUUCAAGACCAAUCCCAAACCAAAAUUUCGAGAAUCCCGAAAUAGUUUCGGGGAUUUCGGGACAAAUCGGGAAUCACGAAAUAGUUUGGGCUUUUGGGCAUGUGAGGAAACAAUUAAGGAAACAAUGAAGAUAAAGAGAAUUAAAGAGUAUGAAGAUAAAGUACUAACCUUAACUCGUAAACCUUAAGUACUCAAAAGGUCUUCCUAAUCCAAUCAAACGGCUGCAAAACAAAAUUACAAAAUAUUAGACUUAAUUGUUAGAUUAAUAACUUAUAAAGGCAAAAUAACAAUGAUGCAAACAUAGGCUCUGGGAAAGUGCAAAAAAACAGUGGCUGACGAUUUUAAUUCUUUACCUUUACAGGAUUAUGAUCAUCUGCUAAUGAUUGUAAUUCUUUCACACAGAGCAAAUUAAAACAAAUCUCCAAUUGUGCUACUCAGUACCUAAAACAGUAUAGCACGAUUUUGAAAUUAUAAACCGAUUAAAGUUUCAGCAACAAGCAGAUUACUCAAUCAGAAAACACAUUCAUCAGGAUUUGAACCCAUGGGAAUCGGCUGUAAUUAAUAAUUAUCAAUAACUAAAAGCAAUGAACCAGAAAUUCUAGCAAAAAUAAUUCGCAAUUGCAGAAAUACAGUAAAAUCUGCAUUCCAAUCAAACAGAGGGCAUGGAAAAUCGAAGUGUGGAUGGGAAUUUACAGAGCUGGACGAGCCAAACUAAAUUUCAGGCCUAACUAGUAACUACAUCAUUAUUCAGACACAAUCCAAAACAAUACUGCUAUGUUAUAUAUUGUAAACAAAAUUAGCUUACUGUAACUCAACCAUUGAAGCCCACCAAUCCCCCUAUAAUCCAAAACAACACCUUUCUCCUGCAGGUCCUGCACUGCACCCACCCUAAACCGGAACCUAUCCAACCUGAAACCCUCCCAAAAACCUGCACCCAAAUCCGAAACCCACAGUCCUCAAACCCUCACACAUUCGACAAAAUGCUCGGAAAUCAAGUUAAUCAACAUGAAAUUUGACCUUAAACCCUAAAGAAAAACCCAGUGAAAAUCAGAAACCCUUACCUGGAUUUUGGGUCUCGAUUCGUGUCGGACUCGCAUCUUCCUGCGUCUGUGUGUGUGGCCGGAUGAGCGCCGUUGAAGUGGACGGAGGAGCGGCGUUCGAACUGGACGGGCUUGACGGAGGACGGGAGGAGCGCUGGAGCGCCGUUCGACCUUUGUUCUUCGAGAGAGUGAGAGUGAGUGAGCGAUUGAGAGAGAGAGGGGGAAUUAACUUACAAUGGACGGUAGGAUUUAAUCUUAACCAAUCUAACGGCCCAAGUAAUUUCUAAUUAUAAAUUAAAAAAAAAAAAUAUAUAUAUAUAUAUGUUCGGUUCGGUUCAGGAUGACCGAACAAUUUCAAAGAUAAGGCCGAAUCCCAAACCAAAACUUUCAGGAUAGUUCGGUUUCGGGAAAUACGGUUCGGAACGGUUUGGGAUUUUCAAGAAAAAAUUUCAUCCUUAUAAAUUUGAAUCACUAUUCUUAUCUCUAUAAUUUAGAUGAGUUUAUUAUAAAUUAUCUUAUCAUUUGUUAAAAAAUCCAUUUCAUAAAUAAGUAGAUGUGAUAUGCUUAAACACAAAUAUGUAACAAAAACAAUGGAAAAGAAUAAGUACAAAAACAGAAUCGUUGCCUUUUUAUCUUUAGGUAAAAUAGAGCACCAAGAUGGUCAAUCUCACUAUGCUGCAGAGAAACGAUCCCUUUAUCAAAAAGGUUCUGAUUACGGCCGUCCACGUCACCUUCUACGAAUUCAACAUCAAGAACAAUCAAUGGGUUCGUUUCCCGAAUCAUAACUUCCAGUUCUCCAUUUGGUUGCCCAAAAAAAAAAACCACAAUUAAAUCUUCAAACAACGGAAAUUUGAAGCAUAAAGUGCUAACAAAUAGGUGGAAAUGUGACACAGAUGUUAGCAAACUUUAUGGUCUUCAAUCUUGAUAAUUUAUGCACACAUUGGAAUCCAAACUUCAUAUAUUCGCUUAUAUUUGUUGAUCUCUUGGCACAUCUAUACUAAAUUGUUUGGUAUUAGUCUUUUUUUAUUCAUAUUUCAAUUUUGUAAGUAGAAAAAGUAUCUUUGUAAAUGAAGAUAUCAAAAAUAAAAUAAAAAUUUGUAAAUUGCGCCAAGCACAUGUAAUUAUAAAUUUGUAAGUCAAGCGUAGCACGCCUGAUUAAAGAUCUCUAAUCAAUGUACCAUUGUUAGCACGCUUGAUUAAAGGCCUCUAAUUCAUGUACCAAUUGUUAACAAUGAUAAAUAACUAACGCAACACAUUUUAGGGGUGGGUAGCGCUUGUGAUUAAAAAAAUGCCUAACGUGCAUGCAAAGAAGCUAGUUUAGAGUAAAUAAAGAAGACUGUACAUACGCAAAUGUGGGAUAAGUUAAGGGUGGAUAUGGGGCAGACUAGACUCAAAAUUGAAGCAGACGGACGACGGACCCAUUUGUAAAUGAAAUGUUGCAAGGCAGGGUGGGUCUUGUUAGUUGAGAAAUGAAACCGGACUUAACCUGGCUCGUUUGAACGAACCGAUUCCUACAUUUUCACAGGUUCUUUUUAUAUAUAUAAUGUUUGUUAAUAAAUUAUGACAGUUGUGCUUGAAGUAAAAGCUAGUGUGCUUGAACAAAAUAGCUGUUGUGCUCUAAGUCAAAGCACAAUAAAUUAUAAUGGAGUAGCUUACCAUCACUUUCCAAUUUUCAUAAGUUCCAAGUGAGCCGAAGGCAAAGGCAAACAGUCAGCCAAAAUGCCCAACUGAAAAUAUAGAAAAGAAAGUACACAAACAGCAAGUUAGGCUAUCUCCAACCGAGGACUGGUCAGAUGGCUCGUUUUAAUCAUCUGGCCCUCCAAGAUAUUAAUAUUUUAAGGCCAUCUCCAACCGAGGGCUGGCCAGAGGGCUCAUUUUAGCCCUCUAGCCCUCCAAGAUAUUAAGGCCAUCUCCAACCGAAUGCUGGCUAGAAGGCUCGUUUUAGCCCUCUGGCCCUUUAAGAUAUUAAUAUUUUAAUGAACAGUACAGGACCAUAUUUGCAUCAAUCUCCAACCGAGGGCCAAAGGGCCGGAAGACUCAUUUUAGCCCUGUCACAAAAUACUACCCCUCGGUUGGAGACGGUUUUCGGGCUAUUUUUGGCCCUCUGGACAAGCCAUCUCCAACUGAGGGCUGACCAGAGGGCUCAUUUUAGCCAUCUGGCCCUCCAAUAUAUUAAUAUUUUAAUGAACAGUACAUGGUUAUAUUUGCCUCCAUCUCCAACCGAGGGCUAAAGAGUCAUAGGGCUCGUUUUAGCCAUGUCACAAAAAACCUUCUCCAACUGAGGGCGAUCGGAGGAGGCCGAAACGCCUCUGUGAGUCUUUCUAGCCCCUGAAUAGGUGGACAUGGCUAAGCCAUUAGCUAGUCUCCUUUUUAAUAAGAUAAAUAUAUAUAUAUAUAUAUAGACACACACACACACACAUUUGCUACACCAACUACUAUAGAUAAGUCCACAUUAGGUUAGAUUACAAAAUUUAAACUUAAAAGCCGCAGACUUGGGUGGCUAGAGCAGUGUGGUUCGAAUCUUUGUUUUCAUAUCUAUAAUUUAGAUGAAUUUAGUGUGGAUCAUCUUAUCGUUUUUUCAUAAAUCCCGCUUAACGAAUAAUUCAAUGUGAUAUGUUUAAAUGCAAAACUUGAGCGAAACACAGUGAAAUGAUUAGAAACUAUCUCCACCACAAAUCUGUACCAAAAACAAUGGAAAAGAACAAGUACAAAUGUUUACAUGAGAGAAGUUGUAAGGACUUGGAUUGUGAGGGUCAUCUCCACUUUGAAAGUAAUAGCUGAAAGUUGAAGGUUCAUGCAGAUUAAACCAUUCGCCAUUGAUGAACACCUCAAAAGAGGGAAACCAGCCCUGCUGAAAGUUUUAAGUACAAAAUUAAAAAAUAAACAGUUCAAAGAUCCGACUUUGAUUUGCAUCAAUGAAAGUUGCAACAAAUGCGAACUAUAUUGCCUCAAUCUUUUCAAUUCAUAUUCUUUGCCCACCUCUUGUUCAGAGAAGAACAAACUUUUUGGUGAUCCUCGGAAAAGAAAGAGAUGGCGGCAAAUCCUCUUCUGGCAGGAAUGCAAGACAAUCGAUGAUGCAUAGCUGAGCUGAGGUCCUUCUCCGGGCAGGAAUUCCGAGAGUGCGUGGUGUUUUGAUCCACAGAUUUCAAACUUGAUCGUCCAGACGGUGUGAGUGGAAGAGAGCCGCUGUUGUUUGAGCAAUGUCUCCAACAGAUCCUCACGUCCCCUGAUCUGAAAUUC
rnacentral:lncRNA from 1 species